rnacentral:rRNA from 1 species
AUACGGGGGGUGCAAGCGUUAUUCGGAUUUAUUGGGCGUAAAGAGCGCGUAGGCGGCUUGGUAAGUCAGAUGUGAAAGCCCGGGGCUCAACCCCGGAAGUGCAUUUGAAACUAUCAGGCUUGAGUAUGGGAGAGGGAAGUGGAAUUCCUGGUGUAGAGGUGAAAUUCGUAGAUAUCGGGAGGAACACCGGUGGCGAAGGCGACUUCCUGGACCAAUACUGACGCUGAGGCGCGAAGGCGUGGGGAGCAAACAGGAUUAGAAACCCCAGUAGUCC